rnacentral:lncRNA from 1 species
GAUGGAGUACGUUGGCUUUGCUGACCCAAUGAGUGACCGUCAGAUUGAGUUUCUAAAGCUUUUGGACCAAAAGGGGUUGGCUGUGGUGGGCCAUGUUGAUGGUAGUGGCCACCGUAGUAGAGACUUUGUUGGUCCUGCUCUGCGCGGUUAUUUUAAGGACUUUGUUUUGUCCUCCACGAAGACUGCUUAAUUAGUGAGUGGUGGUGGGUCAGUGUAAUUAGGAAUUUGAUGUUUAAUUAUGAUUCUCGCUUUGGAUUUUUAUGAUAAUUGUAACUAAUAAAAGCAUUCCAUCUUUUUUGUUUUAGGGUAUUUACACCGUAGUGUUUGUCCUUUUUUAAAAAAUAAAUAAGUAAGUUGAUUAUUGUCAAUCAUAAAUUUACACUAAAAAAAUAUUACAAUUGUUGUAACUUUCAACCUCUUUAAAAAUCACGUAGAUUCUACUAAUCAUACAGAUUCUAUCAUCUAUUACAUUUUUUACAUGAUUUUGAAGAUGUUAUAAGUUAUAGCAGCUGUAACUUAUUUAAUUUUUAUUUGAUUUAACACUUUGUAAUUUUGCACAUUUAUUUUUUAUUUGAUUUAAGCUGUACACUAUUAAAAUAUCUAAAAAGUUAAAGAGGAUUGGUCGAUGUUUGAAGUGCCUAAGUAUAUUUGUACGUAGUGGCAAGAAAAAAAUUAGAUGCUUAAUUGCUGUUAAUAUAUUUAUGAUCAUGACAAAGCCGGAGCAAUUAACAAUCUAUCACACCAGACAAGAUCUGAUCUUUUUAUGUUAACACGGGGCCAACAGCACAGAAGCAGCUAUAACAAAUAAAACACCACUUAAACUGGCUGUAUCGAUCACUCACGUAACAUUUAUAAUAUGCAGCCACAUUAAUUCUCAAGACAAAAUGAAUUUUUUUAUGUUAACAUACAGAGCCUCAAGCUUGACAGGAUCGCCAAUCAUAUCGUGGGGGCUAUCAUCAAAAUAACUCACCACAUUCACACCCUUCUGCUCCAUCAACUUCGCCAGUUCAACUUGACGGUCAAACAACGUAUCCUCACUGCCCCCAGUCACCAUCACCUUCCACCCUAACAACCUGAAUUGGUCUAAAAACUUUGACCCACCUCCCACAAUUGGAUUGGAAUACUCAUGAUCGCGGUCAGCCCCGAUGGGUAAUGCUAACUGCCACGUGAAAUCAGUUUGAGGUGGUGGUAAAAUCGGUUGAUUGGCCAACCUCAACUCUGACUCAGUCCUUUUGACCCCACCGAAGAAAGGCUUGAGCAAUAUCAGCCCUUUGAUCUUCAAAGGUAACAAAUCAUCAACUUGUGCGGCUGCUUGCAGUGCUGCGUGGUAAGCGAUGUUGCCACCUCCGCUAUCACCCAUUAUGAAACAAGACGAGAAGUCAGCGUAUUGUCGCAACCAGUGUUCUUGAGUGGUUUUGACCCAUUGCAAGACUUCCACGGCAUCAUCAUAGGCCGCUGGGAGGCGGUGCUCGGGGGCAAGCCUGUAAUCUACUGACACAAUAAUGGCAGGGACUCGGGCUGCAAUUUCUGAGCAUAAAUCAUGGUAGAUUUUUGUGGCUGCGCUUAAGAGAAGGAGGCCUCCACCGUGGGUGUAAACUACGAGGGGAAACUUGGUGUCGGUGGAAGAAUCAAGUGCUUGACGGGGCAGGAAUAUGCGGACCCAAGUGUUGUUUGAUUGGUUGACGGGGACAUCUUUGGAGAGAGCUAUGGUGUCGUCAUUUGGAUCGGGUGUGGCUGCGGUGUUUGGGUAGAGGCUGUGGUUGCGAGUCAUCGUGCCGUCGGAGUUGAAGGUGAACAUAGGGUGUUGGGGGAAAUCAGUGGUUGACUCACAUAGAGCAGUUGUGUCUGACAUGUUUAACCUUAGCUGAGGUUAGGUGAUGAAUCAAAUUGGAAAUAAUUAUUUGAUAUGCUUUCAGCUUUUAUUUCGAGGCUCCGAUGGCUUUGAGAAGUCAUGGGGUCUAAUUUAUAGAGACAGUAGGGGAGAUUGAAGCAUUUAAGAAAUUUUUUAAUACAAAAAAUUACUCUGUCAUGAAUUAGAAAGACAACUCAAAAGCAUAAGAAUUCUGAAUUGAAUUUUUGCUGAAUAUUGAUCAUUAGAUAAAAAAAUUAAAAAUUAAAAAUAAUUUUAAUUAAUUUAUUGUGUAAUAAAAAUUCAACUCUAUAUUAUUUUAAUUUCGGAAAAUUCUAUAAUACCGUAAUGAAAAUCGCAGCAUCAAUAUCGUGAUAGAAAUAAAUAUUGUAAAUUACACAUAAAAUUAAUAAAUAUAAAGUAAAACCAGUAAAUUCAUAGAAAAUUAUUAAUUAUUUAAAAAAUUAACAUUGUUUCUAUAAAAUUUUAGUGAAAAAUAUUUUCUUUAAAUAAACAAGAAAAUUACUCAUUAAUUAAACAAAAAUUUACACUGAAAAAAGUAGAAUAAGUUUUAUGAAAUUGUUUUAACUAUAAAUUCUAUAUUUAUUCUAUGACAUUUUUAUACUUUUUUUCUCAUUUUAUAUAAUAAUAUAUAUUUAUUACAGAAGUUGAUUAAGUACAAGUAUUUAUCUUGAUAUGGAUCAAGCAAAUACAAAAUAAAAUAAAAUAAUUCUUAUAUUACUAUAAAUGUAUAUGAUAUAUCAAUAAAAUUAGAUCUAAUUUUGAGUCUUAUGCAUAUUUCAAGUUGUUUCAAACUUUUUACUUGUACUUAGAGACCAUUUAGGAUUGUUGUCGAGGAAGUGUACAUAGAUACAAAAUAACCUCAUCCUACAACAACUAUGAAAGAUAUUAAUAUAAUUAUUUUUUCAAAAUCCGAUUUUGAGAAUAAAUUUCAUCCUUAAUAAAACAUCACAUGUAUUACAUAAAUACAAAACUAGUAUUAUUCAAUUCAAAUCAAAAAUCAAUAAAUAUUAUAAUGAUUUUUAUUUUACAAUUGUUAUUUUCUUUUGGGCAGUAAGUCUUAUAUUAAUUUACAUAUUUUAUCUUUUAUUCAUAAGUUUUAGGCAUAAUCUACAAAAUUUAUGUUUUAGUUUGCACAUAAUGUUGAUUUACUUGUUUGAUGUUAUAUUUGUAAGUUUUCAUUUUAUUUACCAAUAAUACAUCAAUUUAUCAGUUUUGUAGUAAUUUUUUUACCUUCUUCUUACAAUCCUUAUGUUCUAUUUCCAAAAUUUAUGUUUUAUUUUAUAGUUAGUGUUGACUUAUUUGUUUUAUGCUUUAUUUCCAAAUUUUUGUUUUGUUUACUAUUAAUACAUUAAUUUACUGAUUUUAUAUUAAUUUGCUUGUUUUACCAUACAUUUACAAAUCUUAUAUUCCAUUUCUAAAAUUUAUCUUUUAUUUUGCGCUUAAUAUUGACUUAUUAGUUUUAUAUUAUAUUUGUAAGUUUUUAUUUUAUUUACUAGUAAUACAUCAAUUUAUGAAUUUUAUAAUAAUUUACUUGUUUUACCUUUUCUUUAUAAAUCUUUUGUUUCAUUUUGAAAAUUUAUGUUUUAUUUUACAGUUAAUGUUGACUUACUAGUUUUAAGUUAUAUUUGCAAUUUUUUUGUUUUGUUUACUAGUAAUAUAUCAAUUUACUAGUUGUAUUUUUAUUUACUUGUUUUACCUUACAUUUACAAAUCUUAUGUAUAGUUGUAUAUUAAUUUAUUUAUUUUAUCUUUCAUUUACAAAUCUUAUGCUUAAUUUUUAAAUUUUAUGUUUUAUUUUGUACUUAAUGUUAAUUUACGAGUUUUAUUUUGUAUUUGCAAGUUUUGAUUUUAUUUACUAAUAAUACGUUAAUUUACCAAUUUUAUGUUAGUUUACUAAUUUUACCUUUUAUUUACAAGUCCUAUAUUUAAUUUCUAAAAUUUAUGCUUUAUUUACAGUUAAUUUAAUUUACAAGUUUUAUGUUAAAUUUAGAAGUUUUAUAUUUCAUAAUAAUCAAACAAUCAUUUGCCUCCACCAAAAAAAAAUUUGAAUUUGGACUCUCAUCAAACAGACUCAUUUAUUUAUGAUUAUUGUUUGUCUUAAACCGUAAAACUUGCUUAGUUACUAAUUUUAUUCAGGUAUGGGACCAAAUUCUGAGGUCGAUGAGCCGCACAACUCAAAAUUAUCCCCUCUCUUAUCUCAAGGAUUUAGUUACGUAUCCCAUUCGACGUUUUCUCCUCCCUUAUCUCAAAGGAUUUCGCGUCAGGCUGCCAUCCGAUGAUUGUGUGCUUGCUUUGUAGUUUUAUGAGAACUUAACUAAUACGGACUACUCAUGCUUGGUGAGUAACAGAGCAUGUUUUGGGCAUAGUUCUAUACCAAUUAAUAGUUUAGACAAGAAAGCUUAUUCCCUUAUAGAAAAGUUGGUGCUUUUCAAAGAAAGACAGCUAUAAGUUAUUAUAUUUUUUAUUAAAACAAAUUUUGUUUAUUGCUUUUCAUACAAAAAGUACAAUUCAUGUUUCUUUAUAAAAACUUUUAAGCAUUAUUUUCUAUAAGCCAAAUAUUAUACAAUCUGCUGUACGGCCAAGGCGGAUGUACGGUACAGCAGAUAGAAAAUUAUUAAUUAUUUAAAAAAUUAACAUUGUUUCUAUAAAAUUUUAGUGAAAAAUAUUUUCUUUAAAUAAACAAGAAAAUUACUCAUUAAUUAAACAAAAAUUUACACUGAAAAAAGUAUUAACCCCAACUUAAGUAAAAAUCUGAAUGUUAGAAUCCCAAACAUUAUUCUUUAUAUAAUACAUAAUUCAUUUUCCUUUUCUUUUUUUAAAAACUAAAUGUCUAAAAAUAUCUAACAUCAUCAUGAUACGCACGAGAUUAAAUUAGCAAGCUUAAUUAAUUAUCAUAUGAUAAAAAAACAACCCCUAUUGUUUAAUGUUAGAAAUUAUAAAAUAAUGAGAUCGAAAUUUGACCAUAACACCUUUAAGUGAUCAAUGAAUUCACCGGUCUUUGUCAUUCAUUCACAUUCCUACAAAUAUAAUAAUCAUCUCAUCAAUGCUCGUUAAUAUUUUCCAUAAAAUAUUUAACAAUUUUUAUAUACUCUUAAUGGUGUUACAAUUAUGAAUGUGGUAAUAUCUUUCAAGAUUAUAAUAAUAAUAGCACUAAAACUCACGUGAUUAAGGUAUUGAGCUAUAAAGUGUGUCACGGCUGAAUUUUAACACCCCUAAAAUUCGUAUAACACGCCUCUAGAAUUUUAUAAAAUACUCCGUAGUCCAUAUAAAAUUUUAAUUAUCUUCCCACAAAAUUUCAUCUCUAAAAAGUUAUCUCUUUUAAGUUUUUAUUAUAGAAUACAUACAAAUCCUAAAAUCUUAAUUAUUUUCUUCUUAUUAUAUUAUUUAUAUCUCCAUAGCUCAAAACUCUUAUUAGUUUCUUUAAAAAAAUAUUUUUCAUUUAAAAUUUAAAACAUAAAAAUAAAUUAUGAAGUGGGAUAGGUAUAAAAAUUUAGCUAAAAAUAUUUUACAGUGUGUAGUUGAAGUUUCAUUGAAAAAAAAAAUAAUUGUCUAUGGUUAUUUAGGUAAUUUUAAUAAGAAAAAGAUUUUGUGAGGAAUUUGAGGGAUGUCAAAAAGAGAGAUUGUAGAGUUCUUUUGUUUUGGAGUCUUCAUAUAGUACAGAGCUGUACGACAUACAGCCUACUUUUUCCACUCGAACAACCGGUAUUUUACGGGUUGUUCUUUCAAUAAUUAAAAAAAAUCAUUUUUAAUGUAGAAAAAAUAAAAUAAAAUGAAAAAAAAUUAAGGAAAUUUAUAAACACGUAACUUAAAAAAUUUUUGAGUGAGAAAAAUAUUUUUAACCUAAAUGAAAGUUAAAAAAAAGGUUAAAUGAUCAUGUCCCAACAAUUUUGGUUAAAUAUCAAUAUAUUAGGUAAAUGUUUCAAGUUAAUUUUGCAUGUCCCUAAUUUUGGUUAAAUUUUUUCACUAAUAGGUUCAUUUGUUUCUACUUUCCAAUUCACUAGUUUUGUGUUUAAUAUUCCUAUUAAAUUCAUUAAAUACUAAUAUUUUGGGUUAAAUUUCAAGUAGAUUUGUUUCUCGUUGAAGAAGUUCCUCAAUUUGGUUAUUCUUUCUCCCUUUUUGGUUUAUAUCUUUCAACUAUUAUUCCACUGGUUUUACGUUUAAUAUUCCAAUUAAAUUGGUAAGAUUCCGGUUAUUUGGGUUAAAUACCCAAAUUAUUUUUUUUAUUAGAUUAGUUCCUGAUUUUGGUUAAGUUUUUUCAUUUACAGGUUCAUAUGUUUCAACUUAUUAUUCCACCGGUUUUACAUUUGAUAUACCUACUAAAUUCAUUAAAUGCCAAAAUUUUGGGUUAUAUUCUAUCUAAUUUUGGUUAUAAUUUCUCCCUUAUAGGUCUAUAUAUUUCAACUAUUAUUUCACUGAUGUUGCGUUUAAUAUUCCAAUUAACUUGGUGAGAUUCCGGUUGUUUGGGUUAAAUACCCAAUUCACUUUCUUUUUGUUAGAUUAAUUCCUGAUUUUGGUAAAAAAAUUUCAUUUAUAGGUUCAUAUUUUCAACUUAUUAUUCCACUGGUUUUACGUUUGAUAUUCCUACUAAAUUCGUUAAAUGUCAAAAUUUUGGGUUAUGUUCUAAGUAACUUUCAUUUUCCGUUGAAUGAGUUCCUAAUUUUCGUUGCACUUUCUCUCUUAUUGGUUCACGUUUUUCAACUAAUUGUUACUCUAAUUUUGUGUUGAAUAUUCCCAUUAAUUUGGUAAGAUUCCAAUUAUUUCGGUUAGGUACCAAAUUUAUUUUUCAUAAUUUUAUUUUUGGUUAGAAAAUAACUAUUAUUUCACUGAUUUUGCGUUUGAUAUUCCAAUUAACUUUGUAAGAUUCUGGUUGUUUGGCUUAAAUACCCAAAUUAUUAUUUUUUUUUAGAUUAGUUCUUGAUUUUGGUUAAGACUUUUCAUUUAUAGAUUCAUAUGUUUCAACUUAUUAUUCUACCAAUUUUACGUUUGAUAUUCCUACUAAAUUCGUUAAAUGCCAAAAUUUUGGAUUAUGUUCCAAGUAACUUUCAUUUUCCGUUGGAUUAAUUCCUAAUUUUCGUUGCACUUUUUCUCUUAUUGGUUCAUGUAUUUCAACUAAUUAUUACUCUAAUUUUGUGUUGAAUAUUCCCAUUAAUUUAGUAAGAUUCCAAUUAUUUUGGUUAGGUACCAAAUUUAUUUUUCAUAAUUUUAUUUUUGGUUAGAUAAGUCCUUAAUUUUGGUUAUACUUUCUCCCUUAUGGGUCUAUAUAUUUUAACUAUUAUUUCACUGAUUUUGCGUUUGAUAUUCCAAUUAACUUUGUAAGAUUCUGGUUGUUUGGCUUAAAUACCCAAAUUAUUAUUUUUUUUUAGAUUAGUUCUUGAUUUUGGUUAAGACUUUUCAUUUAUAGAUUCAUAUGUUUCAACUUAUUAUUCUACCAAUUUUACGUUUGAUAUUCCUACUAAAUUCGUUAAAUGNNNNNNNNNNNNNNNNNNNNNNNNNNNNNNNNNNNNNNNNNNNNNNNNNNNNNNNNNNNNNNNNNNNNNNNNNNNNNNNNNNNNNNNNNNNNNNNNNNNNNNNNNNNNNNNNNNNNNNNNNNNNNNNNNNNNNNNNNNNNNNNNNNNNNNNNNNNNNNNNNNNNNNNNNNNNNNNNNNNNNNNNNNNNNNNNNNNNNNNNNNNNNNNNNNNNNNNNNNNNNNNNNNNNNNNNNNNNNNNNNNNNNNNNNNNNNNNNNNNNNNNNNNNNNNNNNNNNNNNNNNNNNNNNNNNNNNNNNNNNNNNNNNNNNNNNNNNNNNNNNNNNNNNNNNNNNNNNNNNNNNNNNNNNNNNNNNNNNNNNNNNNNNNNNNNNNNNNNNNNNNNNNNNNNNNNNNNNNNNNNNNNNNNNNNNNNNNNNNNNNNNNNNNNNNNNNNNNNNNNNNNNNNNNNNNNNNNNNNNNNNNNNNNNNNNNNNNNNNNNNNNNNNNNNNNNNNNNNNNNNNNNNNNNNNNNNNNNNNNNNNNNNNNNNNNNNNNNNNNNNNNNNNNNNNNNNNNNNNNNNNNNNNNNNNNNNNNNNAAAUUAUAAAAAAUGUUUAAACUUACAAAAGUUGAAAUUUUCUUAAUUUAUUUGUGUUGAAUUAUCUUUUUGUUUUUGGGGGAUCAAUUGAAUUGAUAAGAUUUCUUGAACUUGAAUUUAUUUAUACUUAAAUUUUGAUCUUUGUACAUGCUAUGCCCAUUUUAUCAUUCAAUUAACCAUAUUUAUUAAUCUUUAAACCAAAAUAAAUCAAGAAUUAAGAUUUUUUUGAAUUCGAAUUAAAUUUUUACCGCUCUAUUUUCUUUUCAAAUUAGUUUUAUUAAUUUCCAAUUACUUCAACAAAAUAUUUAUGUUAUUAAUUAUAAAUAUUAUUAUAUUAUACUUGUAUUAUUACCACUAUUAUUUUUUAAAACUAUUACUACAAUUAUUAUUACUACAAUCAUGAGAUUUUUUAACAAAUUUUUUUUAUAAUGAGUAUUUUUCUUUUUCAUUUUAAAAUAUGUGUAUAAUUUUCGAUUUAUCAAAUAAGUUAUUCAAUAUAAUUUUCAGAAAUUUGUUAUGGCCAAUAUGGUACGAUGAAAAUAUAACAUUAUAGUAAGAACAUUUUGUAAUAUGAUUUUGCAUGUUUAAUUAAUUAAUUUUUUUCAAAUGGUCUUUUUUACUCAUAAAUUUAUUGGCAUUUAUUUGCAAAUAGAAUUAUAAUGUCCUAGUACUUUAUCCUAUGCACUUAAAAAUUACUCAAAUCAAGAUUUUCAUUACAAGAAUGAGAACUUCAAUCACUUAAGCAGUUAGUUACAAUACUAACCUAAUGUGAGGCUUAUUGAAAAGUUAAAAUUACAAAAAGAGUCGAGCCUAAAACCACUUUUGUUCAGAAAUUUUUUUUACAAGCUUGUAAGAAAAUAACUCUUUAAAAACUAUUAAUAUCAAUAAAACUAUUACAAAAUUAAAUCAAUUCACAACUUCCAAAAGCUAAAUCAAAUGCUACUAAUUUGAGAUUUAGAUUUCAUGGGUCUCUGCAUAAAAAAAUACAAAAACCAAAUGAAAUUAAAAAAAAAGGCUGCAAAAAAAUAACAAAAAUAUUCAAAUUUCAAAUGUAUGAUCUAAAUUCUUAGGCAGAAUCAGAUAUCUAUUGUUUUCAACAAAAAAAUUGAAACUUAAAUAUAAAAUAACACAAAACUAUAUUUUAAUUUUAACAGCAUAUUUUUUAAUGAUUUUUUAACAACAAUAUUCAAAAUAUAAAAAAAAAUCCUCGACUAGCAUACUCAUUCUACCGAACUUGAAGUGUUGAAAUUUCUUUUUUCAGUUUGAAAUAACUUUAGAAAAUGUGGUCAUGAAUUUAAUCAUCCAUACUUGAGAUUUUGACAUUUGUUCGCAUUGAUGCUCAUUUAUCAUUUAGGUAAUUGUAAUUUUGCCAACAAUACUUUUUUCUUUCUAUAAUUGACUAUCAUUCUUUUUUAAAUAUACAUACAAUUUUUUAGUUACAAAAUAAGUUCUUCAAUUUUUCAGGGCUUAAUUAAAAUAAUUUUUCAAUGUUUAUUACGACCAAUACAUGACAUUAUAAAAAUCUAAUAGCACAGUAAUAACAUUUAUAAUUAUGAAUUAAGCGCGUUUAAUUUAUCCAACGCACUAAAAAAUAAACCAAAUCAAAAUUUCCAUUCAUCUACACAGGUUUACAAGAAUUUUUUACAUUUUAUUUUUCCUUUAAAACUAAAAAAAAAACUUUGCCACCGUCCUUUUGAUUGUAUUUAUGUCUUAAAAAAAGAAAAAAAUUACCAAAAAUACAUAACUUUUCAUUUUUUUUAUAAUAUAUAAUCUCGAUUUUUGUAGAUAGCUGCUGUACGGCCAAGGCGGAUGUACGGUACAGCAGAUGUUGAGCUAGUAACCCGAGCUAGGACGGCGUAGUUGAAAGAGAUUGAUAGGUACUAUGUUGGUUACAACCAGUUAAAUAUUUAUUUAUUUUGAUUUAAACUUGUUAUUUGAACAUAUUAUGUGUUCUUGAACAUACUUUGAGACAUAUUUUGAGUUUUUGUUUGUUAACUUUUUAUGUUCGUGGUAGAUUUAUUAAUUUAAGGUUUUUUUAUAAUCGAACCAAAUCGAAUCGAAUUAUUUCAAUUAAUCGAGUAUUUGAUUAUUACUGUUAUAUUUCAAGUAGGGGUGGGCAAAAAACGUUGAUUAAUUUAAAACUGAACCGAUCGGUUCGAUUCGGUUCGGUUUGAUUUUUAUACAAUUUUUUUACCUCUAAAAAACCGAAAUAGUAAUAUAAAAAAAUAGUAAAAUCAAUCAGUUCGGUUUUCGAUUUAAAAAAAAAAACCGCAAAACCGAACCGAAAUCUCAAAUAAACCGAUUGUUUUGAACAAUCGUAAUCGAACGAUUAUAAAAAACUUAGUAAAAAACCGAACCGAACCGAACUGCGCCCACCCCUAAUUUCAAGGGUCCCUGCGUACAAAAAAAUAAAUAAAUAAAACAAUAAUAAUAAAUAAAUGAUAAUAGAAAACAAGGAUAGGAAAAAUAAAUAAUAUUCAAAUUUUCAAAUGCAAGUCCUAAAUUCUUGGGUAGGACCAAAUAAAUUUUAUUUUCAACAAAAAAAGAAAACUCUAACGCGAACGAAACACAAAACUAUAUACUAAUUUCCAACAAUAUAUUUUUUAAAGAAAUUUUUAACAGCAAUAUUAAAACAUAAAAUUAUUUCCAGACUAGCAUACUUGUUCUAUGCAAUUUUUAUGUCAACUUUAAUUUAACGAUAAUGUAUCUUUGGAAGAUAAAGGGAGAAUGCAUCUACAAUAAACAAGAACAAAUUGAUUGCAUGAAUAAUAUAAAUCAUCGAAUAGCAUCUAAUAUGAACAACUUACAAAAUGAAAAGAAAUUAAGCACCUAAAAAUAACUGUAAAAAAUUCAUCAACAUAUAGAUUUUUUCUUGUAAGUAAAAUGCAUUCAAAAUCUAAACCUUAUUUAUUUAUCCAUUUGCUUGUAUAUUUAUUGUAGUUUUCAUAAUUUUUAUAAUUUUUCAGCAUACCCAAAACAAUCGGUUCAAGUAGCCAGUGCACAUAAAAUAUCUAGAUUACGAAUUACCAUAGCAUUUAAAAUGGUAGUAAUAUCAAUACCACAAUAGGGGGGGAAAACUCAAAUCAAUAUAAUUUUUAGUUUUUCUUUCAUUUGUCUAGCAUGAAACAAUUGAAUGAAAUAAAACCGCUAUAGAAAUCAGUAUUACAGCAGCAUUCAGUUUAGGAAACAAAUGAAAAAAAAAAUAACACGAGAUUUUAAUUUUAAGAAUUGUUCAUAAGUAAAAACAUGACCAAAUUACCCUAACAAUGUUAGUUAAUAAACUACCUUCAUUAUAUUAGUUAACAAAACACCUACACAGAGGUUACUACCAAAAUUAAGCAAAUAUAAAAGAAUUCAGAAAAUAGCUCUUCAAAAUCUAAUUUCUCUUUAACUAUUUAUUGUUCAAGAAUAAUUUGCCAAAAGAAGCUUAUUUGUCAUACAGAAAUGGAUUGUGGUGCUCAGCUGACGAGUAAGUUGACUAACCCAAACUCAUAAUUCCCAUCAUCACCUUUGCAUAAGAACACUUACAGUUCGAGGUAAAUGUGCAAGCUUUGAAAUUGUAUUCAAAAUCUAUGCUCAAACAUUUCGCAUAAAAAAUUUAUAAAUUCAGUUCCCUUUUCUUGAACUCAUCUUAUUAAGGUUUAGAUAUUAACUGUAAUUAUUUUUUUAUGUAUUUUGAAUUAUCAAUUAAAGUUUUCAAUCCCAUUUUUUUUCUUGCAUGUUUUAUGGUUCCAUUCUAGAUGGAUUGACAAGGGAGAAAAUUGACUGAUGAUCUGAUGCAAACAAUGCUUUUGGCUCCUCUCAAGUGGUUGGAUCCAAGUCCAAGUGACGCUGAUGAGUGAUGAGUAGCCUAAGCUUGAGCUUACUGUCGCCAAUUCAAAGAAAAAUCUGCUAAGAAUAUAAUAAAGGUAAUUUUUAUAGGUAAUAAUAAAGGGAACUUAUUAACUGAUAUUAUUAGGGUAAUUUGGUCAUGUUUUUAUUUGAUGAAAUAGAUGAACUAUGCCUUUAUUGAAAGAAAUAUAAAAAUUAUGGUCCAAAUGUUUAGAUAGUUGAAAUUAAAGAAAAAAUUGCAUCUGAAUUCUCGACAAAAAAAUUAUGUGAUAAUAUAUUUGUGUGUAUAUAUGUGUAUAUAACUUGUGAAAUUCAGUAAUGAAAUCCUAUUAGAUAGCAUGAAUUUCUUUACUUCUGAAGAAUUCAUAAAAUUAAGGUCACAUGUAUUCUGCCUCUUUUCGUUGUAAAUGCAAGAAAAUGCAUGUAUAAUGCUGAUUUCUACAAUAAUUUUAUUUCCUUUUAAUGUUUCAUGCUAGAAAAAUUUUAAAAAUUACCUUUAUUAUAUUCUUAGCAGAUUUUUCUUUGAAUUGGUGACAGUAAGCUCAAGCUUAGGCUACUCAUCACUCAUCAGCGUCACUUGGACUUGGAUCCAACCACUUGAGAGGAGCCAAAAGCAUUGUUUGCAUCAGAUCGUCCGUCAAUUUUCUCCCUUGCCAAUCCAUCUAGAAUGGAACCAUAAAACAUGCAAGAAAAAAAAUGGGAUUGAAAACUUUAAUUGAUAAUUCAAAAUACAUAAAAAAAUAAUUACAGUUAAUAUCUAAACCUUAAUAAGAUGAGUUCAAGAAAAGGGAACUGAAUUUAUAAAUUUUUUAUGCGAAAUGUUUGAGCAUAGAUUUUGAAUACAAUUUCAAAGCUUGCACAUUUACCUCGAACUGUAAGUGUUCGAAAGAUGCCAACUUUUUUAUUGCUUGAUUUUGGGAGAUUAACGAAGGUGAAAAGAUGAGGGAUCUAUGGACUUAGUGAGAAAGACAGAAGGUAAGAGCGAGAUUUACAAAAUUUAGGAGUAAAAACUCAUGGCGACCGCUUGUUUUUCUUUUUGUUGAGCGUCUAUGAUGGCGGCCGGUGAUAUCUUUGAGUUGAGCGGCUAGGGUUUCUAACAAUGGAAGAAUGAGAGGUAUUUAUAUUUUGAAUCAAAAUUUGGGGAAAAAAAAUUAAAAAAAUUGUAAAUGUACACGGUAUUAAAAAAAAUUAUUUUUUUUUUAUCUUGGCGGUAGUUUUACCCACCUAAAUGAAACCUAAUUACUUAUUGUUUCACCAAAAAUAAAUUUUAAUUUAAUUUAAUUUAAAAAAUAUAGAUAUAAAAUUUAAGCUUGUUAAUAUUUUUACAUAAUUUCAUUAUUUUUAGUUGUUAUAUAAAUUAACUUAAUUUUAAAAAACUGCUGUACGGCCAAGGCGGAUGUACGGUACAGCAGAAUAUGAUUAGAUCACGGCACAUGGCGGCUACGACUAAUGAUAUGGCACAAGAAACUUUCUCAAGAUUUUUUGUCAGAUACUUUUAAUUGAGUCUGCCUUGUGGACUUGACUAGCUUGCUAUAAAUGGAAGAUUGAACUUGUUUUAGACAGAUUUUGGGGGUAGAAAAAGAUAAACAUAUCUAGAACAAUGAAUUUGUAUUUUAGGAGAAACGGGGUACCUCACUGGUUUGUUGUGUGCGGUGUUUCUGAAAUUCGAAGGAGGUGAAAAGGGAAAAAAAAAGUGAUAACAAUGGUGAAAGGUUUGAACCCAGAAAAAGUCUUUCGAAGCGAGCUUCACGCCUGCAAAACAGUGAAAUAUAGGUUAGAGGUGAAGCCAGGGUACCCCGUUAUUCACACUCUGACGCUCAAGUUAGCAAACUCAAGUUUUUUUUUUAUAGAAAAGAGAGCUUGCCCGCCCUCUAUAAAUCAAGGUUUAAGGUUAAAGAAAGCUUAUUUUGUGGAGUGUGAGUGUUCAUGAGUGAAUGAGAACAUGACGGAGAAUAAAACCUAGACACCUUUAUAUAUAGAGUACCUCUGUUGCCACAUGGCGUAUCUUUUUUUGCUAUUGGCUAUCCCUUUUCAGGCCUUUCACGUCUUUUUACCUUUUUAUGAUUUUUUGGCCGUUAUGUGCAUGCUUGGUAAUCAAGAAGGCGUUCGUGGCGUAUCUCAUCCUUUGGAAACAUGGCGCGCGCUGGAGAGUGGUCCAGGGUACCUUUGCAGUGGUUGUCGGGUAGGUGGCUGAGGACCACUGUCCUUGGGACAGUGUCCUUCACUUUUGGCAAAGGUGGCAAGCGGUUAUCCCCCCUUUUCAGUACGACGUUUUGAUAUUUAAUUCUAAUAAAAUCAAAUAUUAUCCUUCAAGAUAUGGAAAUAUUUCCCAUGGCAAACUUUUUCAGAAGAUUCUCCUGAAUCGAAUCUGUUGGGUACCUCAAGUUAUAUGGGGUACCCCGAUCUAUGGGGGAUACCUCUAAUUAUGCACGGUACCUCUAAUCAUGCAGGACACCUCUAAUCGUGCGGGGAAUUUCGAAUCAUACCGGGUACCUUGGAUUAUAUUGGAGUUAUUCCGAUCGUCAACACAUGGCAUUUUGCUAUUUUUCCUGUUUUUCCCCCAAACAGAACUAAUUUUGUGAUAAUUGCACACUAUUCAAUAUACAAAUCUGAAUCAUCUAGUGAGUGUAGUAUUACUCAAAUAACUUGACUUAAUUUAGAAAUGUAAUUGUCAUGCUUAAAGUAUAUAACUGCAAAAAUAAUUUAAUAUAACAUUAUUCAAUAUUAGUUGCAUUCAAUUUGUAAUUAUCCAUAUUACGUACCAUUAUGAAUUUGAUUAAUGUUUAGCAAAAAAAAAAUUUACUAUACCAAAAAAGAUUAAAUAAAAUAAUUAAUUUGACAUAAUUUUGUAUGAAUUAAUUUGCAUAAGAGAUUGUUUGUGAGUUUUAUUUUAAAAUAUCAAAUAUUAGAUGCUUUAUAUUUUUCUAAUAUAUGAUUUUUUUUUAGAGGGUAUACAAAGAACAUAUUAAUUUUAGCCACUAAUAAUAACAACAACAACAACAUUUGAGGGGUAAGUAUGAUGUUUGGUAUAAUAAUUAUUCGAUAGUUGGAUAAACAUUGCAACCAUUUUCGUAGGUAGGGAUUUAAGUCCUUAUAUGUGUAUUGUGGGAUAUUGGGAUUGAUUUCUUCCAAAUAUUUAGGAAUGAAUUGUUUUUAUUAUAUGUUUAGAUACUUGGAUUUUAAUGUGAUUAAAAGUUGAUAAAGUUGUUUUGAUAGUUUUUUAGGCAAAACAUCAUUACAUUUAUAAAGUAAUAUAAAAAUAGUUUAAUUGCUAUAUAAUUUAUUUUUUAAUUAAUAUAUAAUUUAUUGUAAUUUAUUAUAUUAAAAUAUUAUUCUUAUUAGUACAUAAGUUACAUUUUUAAAGUAAAAUAUCAUUAAAUUUACAACGUAAUAUUAAUAAAAUAAAAUAAUUAUUUUUGUUGUUUAAAUAUAUUAAUCUAUUAAUUUUACUUAAUUAUAUUUUUUAUUAGUACAUAAGUUAAAUAUAUUAACUAUUUUUUCAUGAAUUAAAAGAAAAAAGGAGUAUUUUCUUUUUUAAAUUGAGGGGGGUCUUUGAUAGUUUUCUAAUUUUAGAUUGAUUAUCUUAAUAUUUACCUAAACGGAGGGAGCUAUAUGAUAGUUACCAUUUAAUAUUUACCUCUUUUAACCAAUUAAAAUGAGAGUACCGGUGGCCGGUUAUUGGUUGUAUUAAUAAAAUAAUAAAAAGCGGCUGUGUGAGAUACGGCAGCUGUAUUAUAAGCGGACCCUUUGAUAUAAAAGAUUACAAUAUUUAAUUAAUAUAUUUUCAUCACAACAAUUUGAUGUGUUUUUGUUUUAAAAGAUUACCAAUAAAACUAAUUGGUCUAUAUGGUUGGUCCUAAUCAAAGGAAAAGGUUGCAAAUAUCUAAGUCUCAUUUAGAAACUAAUUGGCUCUAAUAUUGUAUAGAAAUCAUAAACAUAAUUCAUACUUAAAAGCUAACUCAUGAACUGUGGAUCACUUCAAACUUGUAUGCUUAGCAUAAAAUUUAUUCUUAAUUAGCUGAUGUGGGAUAAAAAUCUCCUUAAUAGAAAAUCAUGUUGGUUACUUUCAGAGUACACAAGAGCUGUUACUCUCUAUGUAAUAAUGGCUAUAUUCUGAAUGAUUUUAUGGAUGACACAACGCUGAAAGUAACCACUGAUUGCAUUGACCGUACAUGGAAUCAGACGAUCAAUACCCAAAUAAUGAAUGACAAUCUGGCAGGCAAGAUGCAAACAGCUCUUGUGUACUCUGAGGCUCAUGGGACUUGAACCGUUGUAAGAUAUACCUGCGUAGUAAGUAUGUAGAUUUCUGAAAGCUUACACGGACUCAAUCUUGGUGAGUGAGUGAUAGUGGGUGAACGAACAUGUUUUGGGUAUAGUUUUUAUUUUUAUACCAAUUAUUUGCUUUAGACAAUAAAUCCUUUUUCGUGAUACUACUAUUACUUUUUUUUUUCCUUCCUCCCCAAAGAAAGACAGCUAUAGGUUUUUAUUUUUUAUUUUUUAAAAAUAAUUUAUUUAUUUAUUUUUAUUCAAAGAGUAUUACAAACAUUUCUUUUCAAAAGCCAGCAGGCUUUGGGAUGAUGAUUGUUUCUUGCUCUGUUACAGUCGUGGAGCUCUGGGGCUUAUAUCAAGGGAUCCAACUUGCAUGGAAUUCUGGUAUCCGCAGAUUGAAAGUUGAAACGGAUAGCCUAUGCGUUAUUCAAUUGGUGGCUAGACCUUCGGUGUUGACCAAUGAAUAUGCUCCCUUGGUCCAGGCUAUAAAAGAUUAUCUCAAAUUGGAUUGGCAUGUUUCCAUCUCUCAUAUCUACAGAGAAGCAAAUUUUGCUGCAAAUUAUAUGGCGAAGCUCGCUUUUUCUAUUCCGCUAGGCCUUACUGUGUACCCUUCCCCCCCUUUGGGCGUUAGGGCUCUAUUAUUGCAUGACUCUUACGGGGUUUCUCACCCCUAUAUUGUUGUUCUCUAGCUCUUCUUAGAGCCCCAAUUAAUCAAAAAAAAAAAAGCCAAAUAUGCAUAAAAGACCUACGAUGCAAAUUUCUAUUAUGCACGUACUAAAAAAAAAAAAUUAAAUGCAAGAGUUUUCUAGGUCCUGCUGCAUUGCCGCAGUUGUAUCUUACCACACUUUUUGUAUUUAUUCCUCAUGGUUGUUGGAUGCUUUCUCAUUUAAUCUAACUACUGAAAUUCUUUAGGGGAUAAUUUAGUCGGGAAUCGGCAACUGUUGUAUUCGGUUAUAUUAUUCAGUUAUAAAUUAACCUAAGAGCUGAUAACUAAGCAUGAAUUCCAGAAAUUUUGAAUUAGUAAUUUUAGCGAAAGAUCCUACACUGAUCUUGAGGUAGCAGUUAUAUAUAUAUAUAUAUAUAAAUCUGAAAAUAUAUUAAUAAAAAAGAGAAUAUUUGAAAACUUGUGGGGGUGACCUUGAGGUAGCAAUUAAGACCAAAACUGAUAGCAGAGGAUCGCAAUUUGGUGGGAGCCAAAAAUUUCCGAUCAUUAUUACAUGAAAAUGACCUCUCACAUGUCGGCAACUGACGGCAUAAUUACAAUUCAUAACUGCAAAGUGUAUAUUGUUGGGAUUAUAUGCUCUUUUAAAGUAUAUUAAUUUAUUUUUUUAUUAAUAAAAUAUUUGAGAUAUUUCAAUUGCAUAAAUAUAUAUUGAAAAAUAUUUGUUUAAUCAUAUUAUAUGUUUUUAUGUGAUCAUUAUAUGGAUUCAUAGAAGACAUAAAUACAAGUUAUCUUAUAAUUAAAUAAAUUUAGUUUGCAGUUGAUAAAUAGAGUUGGGCGCUCUAUUUAUGUUUAGACUGUAGUAAAUUCAUUGAAUGGUUUGUUUUAAUCAUGUAUGAAUUUACUGAUGUAGUUUGACUACAUUAAUCUGGAUCACAUAUGAGAUUUAAUUAACCUUGUAAUGACUGUCAGACUUAUUAAAUUUCAUAAGCAUUGAUUUUACUGUAAUCUUAAUCUUGAGUUAGUUAUAAUUUCAUGAUUGUAAUUGUUAUUCCAUUUGAGUUACCAAUGUGCACGACACAUACUUGUAGUCAAGAUUACCCGGUAUCUUGGUGAGAGCAAUUAUGAGUAUUGGAGUUAUAUAUUAACAAUAUAGAAUUUGUACAACUUUGGGACAAAUUAUUAUUUGAGCAUACAAUUAUGGAGAUUAGUUCCAAUAUUUUAGUGGAGUAGAUUUGAAAUUAAAUAAUUGGACUAGUUUAAUUACAGACCUAAUUAUUAUAGCCACUAUUGUAUAUUCCCAAAUGAUCUCCAGGUUAGCUCAUUUAAUUGACUGCGCCACUACUAGAUUAAUAAGCAAGAUAACUAAUUAUUUGGGUUAAAACCCUAAAUAUAUUAUUUAGUGGGAGGCUCCAUGUAAUGUAUUUGUGUCUAAGGGGCAUUAUUUUACAAGGUGGGCCCUUAUGACAAGAAAGAAGUAACAUUACUUUUGGUUUAUUAUUUUUAAUUUAAAUCAAAAUUGAUUCAAUAGAAUUAAAUAAUAUAAAAAAGGAGCCUAGGGUUUCCACUAGAUAGAAAUAUAAAAAUGGCUUAUUUUCUCCCAAAAGAGGGUGUGUAGCCACUUUAUACAGAUCAGAGAAAAAGAUUUUUCUCUCUAUUGUUGAGAGAAAAAAUUUUCUCGUGCUAGUUGUUUUAGUGAUGAUAAAGCCGCCCACACGUCAAGUGCAGAUCAAACUUGAGUCAUAGCCUGGAAGAUUAUUUAGUGGCGGAUCGUGAUCUAACAAGAGUGGUGGUGACGGAUCGUGAUCUGACAGGAGUGGUCGUGACGGAUCGUGAUCUGACAAAAGUGGUGGUGACGAAUUGUGAUCUGGGAGCCUAAAUCACCUCAGUGGAAAAAAGCCAAAUCGGAUUUUCAAGUUACGAUUUAUAGAUUACAAAUUCUUAUAUAUUGUAUGAGAGCAAUUCUAAAAAUUUUUAUAAAAAAUUUAAAAAACUGAUUUUUUGCCAACAUAUCUUAAUGUUAGCAGUGCUGAAAGUUGAGGCAUAUAUCAAAACAGAGUGAAUUUUGCGUCAUUUUCUGACUGCACCCCUCUUCUUAAAUCUACUUCUAAACAAUCUAUAAACACAUUUACAAUCACCGGCUAAUUAGAAUUCGACUGCCUGUUAAAGCUUCUCUUUUGGAUUCCUCGCUCGUCAAGCUUCUUACAAGAAAAAGAAAAAGAAAAGUACUAAUAACUUGUUGCUACUGAUUUUUUAAAUUUAUAAUUUCUUGUAUUUUAUUGUCUUUUGUAUUGGUCAAAGGCUUCCCUUAAUCGCUAUGGUUGUGAUUAAAUUAAUGUCACAGAUUUGAGUGGGAAAAAAAAAGGAAGAAGAUGAAAAAGAAGAGUCUGAAAAUAACAGAGUGAAGUUAAUUUAUAUAAGAUUUUAUAUUUCAGAUAAUGAAACUAUGUGGAAGAUUUACAUAGAUUUAAAAUUUUUUGCUAGAAUAAAACAAUAAACAAAUAUUUGUUCUAUUUAAAAUAUAACAAAAUUUAACUAAAAGUUUUAUAUGUGAUUUUAAUGAGUUCUUAAGCAAAAAUAAUGUUUUAAUAAUAUUUUAAUUUUGUCUAGUAAGGUUAUGUUAGGCGCUUAGGUAGGUUUAUAGAGUAAAAUUUAAUUUUUUAAAUUUAAAUUUUAAGAGUAAAGUAAAUGAGUUCAAUGAGGAGUUUAGUGUGUUCAAAUGAUUUCUCUAAUAUUUCAAAAGAAAAAAAAGGUUAUAUUAUGAGAUUAUUCUAAUGGAAAAUUUGAUACACUUUACUGCUAGAAUUCAAAAAAUGUACCAAUGAUUGAGCACUCUUCGAGCGAGUGACGGCUCCAGAAUAAAAAAAGAAUAAGACAGAGAUGAGAAAGAGAAGGACUUUCAUUCAUAAAACAUGCCUUGCACAAUAUUCCCUUUUGCAUAUAUAUCUCGUGACUCCUCUAGAGUAUUCUAAGGCUAAAAAACAAACAUGAGCUGGCAAUUGUAAAAUAUCUAAAUUAUAAUAACAUAAUUCAGAUAGUCGUUAAGAGGAAUUGUCCAUCCACCCUUGCUGUCAUGGUUCACGUGGCGUAGUCCUUCAUCCAGUCUGGCUGUUUCUUGGUUCUCUCGGGUCUAAAGUUGAGCUGCUGUUUUGCUUCUGCAAAUUCAUUUUUGGGUCCCUUAGUCAUGGUUUUGGUUAGUCAUGGUUUUGGUUCCUUCUUUCUCUCUUGGCAAAAUGUCCUUUGCAUCCAAUUCAAUUGACAAGCCCAUAUCAAAAAUUGUGAUGGGAUAAUUUUUUUUUUCAAUUUUUUUGUUUGGUGUUGGAAAAUUUUUGCUAUGUUAGUUGGUUUUUUUUUUCUUUAAAAAAAAUUCAAAGGAAAUUUAUUCUAAAAUUAAAUUACAAUAAGAAUUACACUCACCCAUCAUUUCUCCCUCACAAAUCUGCCUUCAAACCCGUUAAUUCAAAUCUUUGUUUGACUCUUUUCUUUUUUAUCAUUAUUUCUGUUUGUGUUAAAGGGUUCGUUUUCUUUUUGCCAAUGGUUGUGUAGAGAAAUAGAAAGAAUUACGUGCAACAGGAACCAUUUUUUUCAUUGAAAAAAGUUUCAAAAAUAAGAAAUAAAAUACUUGAAUCGUUGUAAGAUAGACCUGCGUAGUAAGUAUGUAGAUUUCUGAAAGCUUACACGGACUCAAUCUUGGUGAGUGAGUGAUAGUGGGUGAACAAACAUGUUUUGGGUAUAGUUUUUAUUUUUAUACCAAUUAUUUGCUUUAGACAAGAAAGCCUUUUUCGUGAUACAACUAUUACUUCUUCUUUUUUCCUUCCUCCCAAAAGAAAGACAGCUAUAGGUUUUUAUUUUUUAUUUUUCUAAAAAUAAUUUAUUUAUUUAUUUUUAUUGAAAGAGUAUUACAAACAUUUCUUUUCAAAAGCCAAAUAUGCAUAAAAGACCUACGAUGCAAAUUUCUAUUAUGCACAUACUAAAAAUAAAAAAUAAAAUACAAGAGUUUUCUAGGUCCUGCUGCAUUGCCGCAGUUGUAUCUUACCACACUUUUUGUAUUUAUUACUCAUCGUUGUUGGAUGCUUUCUCAUUUAAUCUAACUACUGAAAUUAUUUAGGGGAUAAUUUAGUCGGGAAUCGGCAACUGUUGUAUUCGGUUAUAUUAUUCAGUUAUAUAAUAACCUAAGAGCUGAUAACUAAGCAUGAAUUCCAGAAAUUUUGAAUUAGUAAUUUUAGCGAAAGAUCCUACACUGAUCUUGAGGUAGCAGUUAUAUAUAUAUAUAUAUAUAAAUCUGAAAAUAUAUUAAUAAAAAAGAGAAUAUUUGAAAACUUGUGGGGGUGACCUUGAGGUAGCAAUUAAGACCAAAACUGAUAGCAGAGGAUCGCAAUUUGGUGGGAGCUAAAAAUUUCCGAUCAUUAUUACAUGAAAAUGACCUCUCACAUGUCGGCAACUGACGGCAUAAUUACAAUUCAUAACUGCAAAGUGUAUAUUGUUGGGAUUAUAUACUCUUUUAAAGCAUAUUAAUUUAUUUUUUGAUUAAUAAAAUAUUUGAGAUAUUUUUAAUUGCAUAAAUAUAUAUUGAAAAAUGUUUGUUUAAUCAUAUUAUAUGUAUUUAUGUGAUCAUCAUAUGGAUUCACAGAAGACAUAAAUACAAGUUUUCUUAUGAUUAAAUAAAUUUAGUUCGCAAUUGAUAAAUAGAGUUGGGCGCUCUAUUUAUGUUUAGACUGUAGUAAAUUCAUUGAAUGGUUUGUUUUAAUCAUGUAUGAAUUUACUGAUCAUUCAAUGAAUUUACUGAUGUAGUUUGACUACAUUGAGCUGGACUACAUAUAAGAUUUAAUUAACCUUGCAAUGACUGUCAGACUUAUUAAAUCUCAUAGGCAUUAAUUUUACUGUAAUCUUAAUCUUGAGUUAGUUAUAAUUUCAUGAUUGUAAUUGUUAUUCCAUUUGAGUUACAUAAGCAAAUGUAGACGACAAACAUGCAUGGUUGUUUUUGGGUUUUGUUAACUGUUAAAGUUACAUUUAUUGUAACUUAAAAUCAAGCUUUUUAAAUAUAAAAACGAGUAAUAGAUAUUAGGGUCAGGUGAGCCAAUAAAUAAGUUUUGUUUGGCUAUAAAUUAUAUUAAAUGUAACAGAAGACAGCUUCAAAAGUCAAUGAGCUCGUAGUUCGUUGGCAUGUCUCCUUGAACUCUUAGUGAGGGUCGAUCUUUAAGAUGUGUCAUAAUAAAAUUAUUUAAGAAUUUAGUAGAGUUAUGAUUAUAAUAAAUUAGUAUAUGUAUAUAUUAAAAAAAAUACUUAAGAUGACCCUUAUCUUUAAUAACAAAGGGAAUUUAUCUAUGACCAUUGGAUCAAGUGAGCAACUCUUUGUUGACACGUUAUGCUGAGUGCACUACUGAAUUAAUAAGCAAGAUAACUAAUUAUUUGGGUUAAAACCCUAAAUAUAUUUUAGUGAGAGGCUUCAUGUAAUGUACUUGUGUCUAAGAGGCAUUGUGUUAUUUUACAAGGUGGGCCCCUAUGAAAAGAAAGAAGUAACGUUACUUUUGGUUUAUUAUUUUUAAUUUAAAUCAAAAUUGAUUUAAUAGAAUUAAAUAAUAUAAAAAAGGAGCCUAGGGUUUCCACUAGAUAGAAAUAUAAAAAUGGCUUAUUUUCUCCCAAAAGAGGGUGUGUAGCCACUUUAUACAAAUCAGAGAAAAAUAUUUUUCUCUCUAUUGUUGAGAGAAAAAUUAUCUCAUGCUAGUUGUUUUAGUGAUGAUAAAGCCGCACACACGUCAAGUGCAGAUUAAACUUGAAUCAAAGCCUGUAAGAUUAUUUAGUGGCGGAUCGUGAUCUAACAGUAGUGGUGGUGACGGAUCGUGAUCUGACAGGAGUGGUCGUGACGGAUCGUGAUCUGACAAAAGUGGUGGUGACGAAUUGUGAUCUGGGAGCCUAAAUCACCUCAGUGGAAAAAAGCCAAAUCGGAUUUUCAAGUUACGAUUUAUAGAUUACAAAUUCUUAUAUAUUGUAUGAGAGCAAUUCUAAAAAUUUUUAUAAAAAAUUUAAAAAACUGAUUUUUUGCCAACAUAUCUUAAUGUUAGCAGUGCUGAAAGUUGAGGCAUAUAUCAAAACAGAGUGAAUUUUGCGUCAUUUUCUGACUGCACCCCUCUUCUUAAAUCUACUUCUAAACAAUCUAUAAACACAUUUACAAUCACCGGCUAAUUAGAAUUCGACUGCCUGUUAAAGCUUCUCUUUUGGAUUCCUCGCUCGUCAAACUUCUUACAAGAAAAAGAAAAAGAAAAGUACUAAUAACUUGUUUGAGUACUGCCAAUUGAUCGCGGCCCAAAUCCCUGCUGUGGUCGUGACAGCAGAGUAUCGUCUUGCCCCUGAGCAUCGUCUUCCCGCAGCCUACGAUGAUGGCAUGGAAGUGUUGCACUGGUUCAAGACAAGUCAAGACGGGUGGUUACAACAGUACGCUGACUUUUCUUCCUGUUUCUUAACGGGAGAUAGCGCUGGUGGUAACCUAGCUUACCAGGUAGGAUUACGUGCAUCUGCUAUAGUUGAUGAUUUGUUGCCGCUGACAAUCAAGGGCCUGAUUUUGAUCAAACCAUACUUCAGUGGGGUCAAGAGGACGGAAUCAGAGUUGAGAUUGGAGAAAGAUCCUGAUUUUCCGUUGGCUAUUAAUGAUAUGUGUUGGGAGUUGGCACUGCCACUGGGUGCAGACCGUGAUCAUGAGUAUUGCAAUCCGACGGUGGGAGGUGGAUCAAAGCUGAUUGAGAAAAUGAGCUCGCUCGGAUGGAGGGUGAUGGAGUACGUUGGUUUUGCUGACCCAAUGAGUGACCGUCAGAUUGAGUUUCUAAAGCUUUUGGACCAAAAGGGGGUGGCUGUGGUGGGCCAUGUUGAUGGUAGUGGCCACCGCACUAGAGACUUUGUCGGUCCUGCUCUGUGCGGUUAUUUUAAAGACUUUGUUUUGUCCUCCACGAAGACUGCUUAAUUAGUGAGUGGGGUGGUGGGUCAGUGUAAUUAGGUAUUUGAUGUUUAAUUAUGAUUCUCGCUUUGGAUUUUAUGAUAAUUGCAACUAAUAAAAGCAUUCCAUCUUUUUUUGUUUUAGGGUAUUUACACCGUAGUGUUUGUCCUUUUUAAAAAAAUAAAUAAAUAAGUUGGUUAUUGCCAAUCAUAAAUUUAUACUAAAAAAAUAUUACAAUUGUUGUAACUUUCAACUUCUUCAAAAAUCACGUAGAUUCUACUAAUCAUACAAAUUUUAUCAUCUAUUACAUUUUUUACAUGAUUUUGAAGAUGUUAGAUCCGUUUGGGGCAGCUGCGCGGUGGGCCAAUUCUAGGGGAAUAUUCCCCUAAAAUUGGCCUGGGGAGCAGCUGCGCGGUGGCAGCGCAGCUGCCCCAAACAGGUCCGUUA